UACCAUCACACUGGAGAAUGUGACCAGACUCACUGAAGCCCUCUACUGCACUGCCAUCAACACAGAGGGACAAGGCCAAUCCAGCUCACUGAAGCUCAGUGUAGAGUACCCCCCUGUGAUCAAAGUGGACUCUGCCUGCACUUCAGACAGCUCCAUGAUAACUUGUCUGUGCAUUGUGGAUUCGGAGCCCCCCGGCACUGUGGAGUGGUCUCUUCCAGCAGGACUCUUGCCCAGUACCAGGGUAGAGAUGCAUGGGUCAGUUACCAUGGUGACCCUACAGAGGGCACUAGGCUUCUCAGAGACCGUCCACUGCAAUGCCAGCAACACACAGGGCAAUGCCACCUUGUCCUUCACUGUGCCCACAAAUGAUAAGAUGUUCAUG